UACGUAGGGUGCGAGCGUUAAUCGGAAUUACUGGGCGUAAAGCGUGCGCAGGCGGUUUUGCAAGCCGGAUGUGAAAUCCCCGGGCUUAACCUGGGAAUGGCAUUUGGGACUGCAAGGCUGGAGUGCGGCAGAGGAGACUGGAAUUCCUGGUGUAGCAGUGAAAUGCGUAGAUAUAUGAAAGAACAUCAAUAUAGCGAAGGCAGUUAACUAUUCUGCUACUGACAUUGAGGCAUGAAAGCGUGGGGAGCAAAACGG
rnacentral:rRNA from 1 species